rnacentral:rRNA from 1 species
AGUGAACGCUGGCGGUAGGCCUAACACAUGCAAGUCGAACGGCAGCACAGUAAGAGCUUGCUCUUACGGGUGGCGAGUGGCGGACGGGUGAGGAAUACAUCGGAAUCUACUUUUUCGUGGGGGAUAACGUAGGGAAACUUACGCUAAUACCGCAUACGACCUACGGGUGAAAGCAGGGGAUCUUCGGACCUUGCGCGAUUGAAUGAGCCGAUGUCGGAUUAGCUAGUUGGCGGGGUAAAGGCCCACCAAGGCGACGAUCCGUAGCUGGUCUGAGAGGAUGAUCAGCCACACUGGAACUGAGACACGGUCCAGACUCCUACGGGAGGCAGCAGUGGGGAAUAUUGGGCAAUGGGCGCAAGCCUGAUCCAGCCAUACCGCGUGGGUGAAGAAGGCCUUCUGGUUGUAAAGCCCUUUUGUUGGGAAAGAAAAGCAGCAGGUUAAUACCCCGCUGUUCUGACGGUACCCAAAGAAUAAGCACCGGCUAACUUCGUG